AGAGUUUGAUCCUGGCUCAGGACGAACGCUGACGGUGUGCUUUAGGCAUGCAAGUCGAACGAGAAAGCCCUUCGGGGUGAGUAAAGUGGCGAACGGGUGAGUAACACGUGGGCAACCUGCCCCUCGCAGGGGGACAACCGGAGGAAACUCCGGCUAAUACCCCGUACGCUUGUUGGAUCGCAUGGUCCGGCAAGGAAAGGUAGCUUCGGCCAUCCGGCGAGGGAUGGGCCCGCGUUGCAUUAGCUAGUUGGUGGGGUAACGGCCUACCAAGGCGACGAUGCGUAGCUGGUCUGAGAGGAUGAUCAGCCACACUGGGACUGAGACACGGCCCAGACUCCUACGGGAGGCAGCAGCCAGGAAUCUUGGGCAAUGGGCGAAAGCCUGACCCAGCAACACCGUGUGGGCGAUGAAGGCCUUAGGGUCGUAAAGCCCUGUUGAUAGGGACGAAGGGCGAAGGGUUAAUAGCCCCUAGCUUGACGGUACCUUUCGAGGAAGCCCCGGCUAACUACGUGCCAGCAGCCGCGGUAAUACGUAGGGGGCGAGCGUUGUCCGGAAUUAUUGGGCGUAAAGAGCGUGUAGGCGGUUCGGUAAGUCUGCUGUGAAAUCCUGGGGCUCAACCCUGGGCGUGCAGCGGAUACUGCCGGGCUAGAGGGUGGUAGAGGCGAGUGGAAUUCCGAGUGUAGCGGUGAAAUGCGCAGAUAUUCGGAGGAACACCAGUAGCGAAGGCGGCUCGCUGGGCCACACCUGACGCUGAGACGCGAAAGCGUGGGGAGCGAACAGGAUUAGAUACCCCGGUAGUCC
rnacentral:rRNA from 1 species